GGUUUUGCCAGCCCCAGGCUCCGGUGGUGCAGGGCAGCAGCGGUGGCAAGCCAGCCGUCGGCCACUUCCCCCAGACCUCGCCUGGGACAGUUUUGCAGUAGGGUACCUCCAGUGAGACCCUGCCCCUGAACAGCUUUCCCUGGCUCCGUGGAGAUGGUUUCCAGCAAGUCCCACAGGCACAGCCCCACGGCGACUCCUCUGCCACCCUGUGGGCCACAGCAGCAUGCCAUCUGGUCUGGACCUGUAACUGGGGCCGAGCUAUCUCAGCCCUCGGUGCUUUCCGGGGGACAUGGGAGCCCACACUGCCACCAGUCUUCAGCUCCCUGGAGAUCUCUCACGAGCAUCUGCUUCCCAGUCCCUCCAGCUUUGGCCUUUGCUGGAUUAGAGUCCUUAGUGUCUGAAAGAGAGAGACUGCCGAUGGGCGCAGCAGUGUUCUUCUGAAUGGGCAGUGAAGACUGCUACCCUGUCGUUUUGCCUUCUUCGUGCCUUAGAAUCCACAGCACUAAAAGGGUGAUUGAUCCUGAUUAUGAAGGAAGAAAUUGUCGCUGCCACACAGUGGAGACAGAGAUUCCUGGGGGCAUCUCCCAGGACUGCCGGUCCAGAAACAAUAUUCACCAAAGGCUAAAGAGACUGGAUACAGGCAGAAUCACCAAGGACCUGGACCCCUCAUGAAUGAAGAUCACCUUACUGGGUAAAGAUCCCUGAGGGCAGACAGAGAAUGGGUGGGUAGUGGAAGAAAUAAGCUCUAAGUACCAGAUUAGGGGUGCCGGAUAAAAUACAGGAUGCCCAGAAUUUCAAAGAAACUAUUUUUUUUCUUUAGUAAAAGUAUGUCCUAAUGUU